GACGAACGCUGGCGGCGUGCUUAACACAUGCAAGUCGAACGGAAAGGCCCUGCUUUUGUGGGGUGCUCGAGUGGCGAACGGGUGAGUAACACGUGAGUAACCUGCCCUUGACUUUGGGAUAACUUCAGGAAACUGGGGCUAAUACCGGAUAGGAGCUCCUGCUGCAUGGGGGGGGUUGGAAAGUUUCGGCGGUUGGGGAUGGACUCGCGGCUUAUCAGCUUGUUGGGGGGGUAGUGGCUUACCAAGGCAUUGACGGGUAGCCGGCCUGGGAGGGUGACCGGCCCCAUUGGGACUGAGGUACGGCCCAGACUCCUACGGGGGGCAGAAGUGGGAAAUAUUGCACAAUGGGCCGCAGCCUGAUGCAGCAACGCCGCGUGCGGAAUGACGGCCUUCGGGUUGUAAACCGCUUUCGCCUGUGACGAAGCGUGAGUGACGGUAAUGGGUAAAGAAGCACCGGCUAACUACGUG
rnacentral:rRNA from 1 species